rnacentral:rRNA from 1 species
GUGGGGAAUCUUCCGCAAUGGGCGCAAGCCUGACGGAGCAACGCCGCGUGAGUGAAGAAGGUUUUCGGAUCGUAAAGCUCUGUUGUCAGGGACGAGAGACUUGAUCAGGAAAUGGGUCAAGGAGGACGGUACCUGACGAGAAAGCCACGGCUAACUACGUGCCAGCAGCCGCGGUAAUACGUAGGUGGCGAGCGUUGUCCGGAAUUAUUGGGCGUAAAGGGAGCGCAGGUGGGAUUGUAAGUCAGUCUUAAAAGUUCGGGGCUCAACCCCGUGAUGGGAUUGAAACUAUAAUUCUUGAGUGCAGGAGAGGAAAGCGGAAUUCCUAGUGUAGCGGUGAAAUGCGUAGAUAUUAGGAGGAACACCAGUGGCGAAGGCGGCUUUCUGGACUGUAACUGACACUGAGGCUCGAAAGCGUGGGGAGCGAACAGG